ensembl:snRNA U2 U2 spliceosomal RNA
AUCGCUUCUCGGCCUUUUGGCUAAGAUCAAGUGUAGAAUAUGAUCUUAAGAGAUGCAAUUCAAGAAAGUUCUGGAAUGAUUUAGUAACAAGAUGUGGUAAUUAUGGAGGCUUUCAUUUUGUACUUAAAGAUUGCUUCUGUAUCUGCUUUCUGGAUAGAUCCAUUCUAUCCCGU